AACCACCCCAAUUCUCUCACCCUGUCCUCAUAGGGGAGGUGCUCCAGCACCCUGAACAUCUUUGUGUCCCUCCUCUAGACCCACUUGAGCAAGUCCAGGUCUUUCUUAUCAACAUAUGGGGCCCU